UACGAAGGGGGCUAGCGUUGUUCGGAAUUACUGGGCGUAAAGCGCGCUGAGGCGGCCAUACAAGACAGGGGUGAAAUCCUGCGGCUUAACCGCAGAAUUGCCUUUGAAACUGUAUGGCUUGAGUCCGGAAGAGGGUGGUGGAAUUCCUAGUGUAGAGGUGAAAUUCGUAGAUAUUAGGAGGAACACCAGUGGCGAAGGCGGCGACCGGGUCCGGUACUGACGUUGAGGCGCGUAAGCGUGGGGAGCAAACAGG
rnacentral:rRNA from 1 species